GAAAACGGAUUAAAACUUAUUUUGAUAAAAGUUUUAAUGAAAUUCGACAACACUUAGAAUCAGUAACAACAAACAAUGGUUUUGUCUGUACAAUAGCCGAUGUAUGGACAAGUGGACAAAUGGAAAAGUGGGAGUAGAAGAUUUUUGGGGGUCACAGUCAGUUGGAUUGAUCAAAAAAGCUUAGCAAGAAAAUCUGCUGCUGUUGAUUGCAAGCGUUUUCAUUCGGGCACUCAUUCAUUCGAUGCAAUUGUUAAAAAAUGAUUUGAUAUUCAUUCUUCAUUUGGUCUCACUUCAGAAAAUAUCAGAGCAACAGUUACUGACAACGGAUCAAACUUUAUAAAAGCAUUUAAGGAAUUUGGAGUUGACGUUUCAGAUAAAGAUCUUUUUGAUUCGUCUGAAGUGAGUUGCGAUGAUGAUGAUGAAGACAUUUUUGAUGCUUUGGAUGAUAUUUCUGUGAGAGCUGAGGAAGAAUUCGAUUUGACAUGUGAAAUAGCAUUACCUCAACAUUUGCGGUGUGCUAGUCAUACGCUCAACUUAAUAGCAACAACAGAUAUCAGUAAGGGUAUUGAAGCAUCUCAAGUUUUAAAAAAAAAGGCACACAAAUGUUGUUCAGAAGUGUUCAUCUUUGUGGAAGCAACUACGAUCUCCGAAGAAGAACGAAUAUUUUAAAUUAU